AUUGAACGCUGGCGGCAUGCUUUACACAUGCAAGUCGAACGGUAACAGGCCUUCGGGUGCUGACGAGUGGCGAACGGGUGAGUAAUGCAUCGGAACGUGCCCAAUCGUGGGGGAUAACGUAGCGAAAGUUACGCUAAUACCGCAUAAGCCCUGAGGGGGAAAGUGGGGGACCGCAAGGCCUCACGCGAAUGGAGCGGCCGAUGUCAGAUUAGCUAGUUGGUGGGGUAAAGGCCCACCAAGGCGACGAUCUGUAGCGGGUCUGAGAGGAUGAUCCGCCACACUGGGACUGAGACACGGCCCAGACUUCUACGGGAGGCAGCAGUGGGGAAUUUUGGACAAUGGGCGCAAGCCUGAUCCAGCAAUGCCGCGUGUGUGAAGAAGGCCUGCGGGUUGUAAAGCACUUUCAGUGGGGAAGAACAGAUUCGGGUCAAUACCCCGGAGCCCUGACGUUACCCACAGAAGAAGCACCGGCUAACUCCGUGCCAGCAGCCGCGGUAAAGUG
rnacentral:rRNA from 1 species